AUUGAACGCUGGCGGCAUGCCUUACACAUGCAAGUCGAACGGCAGCACGGGUGCUUGCACCUGGUGGCGAGUGGCGAACGGGUGAGUAAUACAUCGGAACAUGUCCUGUAGUGGGGGAUAGCCCGGCGAAAGCCGGAUUAAUACCGCAUACGAUCUACGGAUGAAAGCGGGGGCCCUUCGGGCCUCGCGCUAUAGGGUUGGCCGAUGGCUGAUUAGCUAGUUGGUGGGGUAAAGGCCUACCAAGGCGACGAUCAGUAGCUGGUCUGAGAGGACGACCAGCCACACUGGGACUGAGACACGGCCCAGACUCCUACGGGAGGCAGCAGUGGGGAAUUUUGGACAAUGGGCGAAAGCCUGAUCCAGCAAUGCCGCGUGUGUGAAGAAGGCGUUCGGGUUGUAAAGCACUUUUGUCCGGAAAGAAAUCCUUGGCCCUAAUACGGUCGGGGGAUGACGGUACCGGAAGAAUAAGCACCGGCUAACUACGUG
rnacentral:rRNA from 1 species